rnacentral:rRNA from 1 species
UACGGGGGGUGCAAGCGUUAUUCGGAAUUAUUGGGCGUAAAGGGCGCGUAGGCGGUUGAAUAAGUCAGAUGUGAAAGCCCUUGGCUUAACCAAGGAAGUGCAUUUGAUACUAUUUGACUUGAGUAUGGGAGAGGGAAGUGGAAUUCCUGGUGUAGAGGUGAAAUUCGUAGAGAUCAGGAGGAACACCGGUGGCGAAAGCGACUUCCUGGACCAAUACUGACGAUGAGGCGCGAAGGAGUGGGGAGCAAACAGG